rnacentral:lncRNA from 10 species
AAAGAGACAAGUUUUAUCCGUGGACCCAAAACUCCAGAGCCGGUCACGGACUGAGAAGGCAGGCUUCCCUUGGUUUUUAAUCAUUGCAGGGACACCUCUCUGAUUAUUCACCCACAUUUCAAAGGUGUCAGACCACACAGGGAUGCCUGCCUUGGUCCUUCACCCUUAGCAGCAAGUCCCGCUUUUCUGGGGGAGGGAUAAGUACCCCAACCCCUUCUCUCCGUGUCUCUACCCCUUCUCUGCUUUUCUGGGGGAGGGGCAAGUACCCCUCAACCCCUUCUCCUUCACCCUUAGCGGCAAGUCCUACUUUUCUGGGGAAGGGGCAAGUAACCCAACCCUUUCUCUCCAUGUCUCUACCCCUUCUCUGCUUUUCUGAGGGAGAGGCAAGUACCCCUCAACCCCUUCUCCUUCACCCUUAGCGGCAAGUCCUGCUUUUCUGGGGGAGGGGCAAGUACCCCAACCCUUUCUCUCUGUGUCUCUACCCCUUCUCUGAUUUUCUGGGGCAAGGGCAAGAACCCCUCAACCCUUUCUCCUACCCCUCAGCGGCAAGUCCCACUUUUCUAGGGGAGAGGCAAGUAUCCCAACCCCUUCUUUCCAUGUCUCUACCCCUUCUUUGCUUUUCUGGAGGAGAGGCAAGUACCCCAACCUCGUAUCUCUGUGCCCCAAUCCCUUAUUUCCAUGCCCCGAACUCGUAUCUCUGCACCCCGACCCCUUCUCUGCUUUUCUGGAGGGCAAGAAACCCCCACCCCUUCUCUGUGUCUCUACUCUUUUCUCUGGGCUUGCCUCCUUCACUAUGGGCAAGCUUCCACCUUCCAUUCCUCUUUCUCCCUUAGCAUGUGUUCUUAAAAACUUAAAACCUCUUCAACUCUCACCUGACCUAAAAUCUAAGUGUCUUAUUUUCUUCUGCUAUGCCGCUUGACCCCAAUACAAACUUGACAGUAGUUCCAAAUAGCCAGAAAACGGCGCUUUCAAUUUUUCCAUCCUACAAGAUCUAAAUAAUUCUUGUCGUAAAAUGGGCAAAUGGUCUGAGGUGCCUGAUGUCCAGGCAUUCUUUUACACAUCAGUCCCUUCCUAGUCUCUGUGCCCAGUGCAACUCGUCCCAAAUCUUCCUUCUUUCCCUCCCACCUGUCCCCUCAGUCCCAACCCCAAGCAUCGCUGAGUCUUUCUAAUCUUCCUUUUCUACAGACCCAUCUGACCUCUCCCCUCCUCACCAGGCCAAGCUAGGUCCCAAUUCUUCCUCAGCCUCCGCUCCUCCACCCUAUAAUCUUUUUAUUGCCUCCCCUCCUCACACCUGGUCCGGCUUACAGUUUCGUUCAGUGACUAGCCCUCCCCCACCUGCCCAGCAAUUUACUCUUAAAAAGGUGACUGGAGCCAAAGGCAUAGUCAAGGUUAAUGCUCCUUUUUCUUUAUCCCAAAUCAGAAGCUUUUAGGCUCUUUUUCAUCAAAUAUAAAAAUCCAGCCCAGUUCAUGGCUCGUUUGGCAGCAACCCUGAGAAGCUUUACAGCCCUAGACCCUAAAAGGUCAAAAGGCCGUCUUAUUCUCAAUAUACAUUACCCAAUCUGCUCCCGACAUUAAAUAAAACUCCAAAAAUUGGAAUCUGGCCCUCAAACCCCACAACAGGACUUAAUUAACCUCACCUUCAAGGUGUACAAUAAUUUAAAAAAGUUGCAAUUCCUUGCCUCCACUGUGAGACAAACCCCAGCCACAUCUCCAGCACACAAGAACUUCCAAACGCCUGAACCACAGCAGCCAGGCAUUCCUCCAGAACCUCCUCCCCCAGGAGCUUGCUACAAGUGCCAGAAAUCUGACCACCAGGCCAAGGAAUGCCUGCAGCCCAGGAUUCCUCCUAAGCUGUGUCCCAUCUGUGCAGGACCCCACUGGAAAUCAGACUGUUCGACUCACCUGGCAGCCACUCCCAGAGCCCCUGGAACUCUGGCCCAAGGCUCUCUGACUGACUCCUCGGCUUAGCAGCUGAAGACUGAUGCUGCCUGAUCACCUCAAAAGCCCUGUAGACCACCACAGACGCCGAGCUUCGAGUAACUCUCACAGUGGAAGUGCUGUGCUGCCUUCUGAAUUCUCCUACAAAAAGCAGUGGCCAGGUCGUAUGGUCCUUACAUUCCAGGAAAUUGUAAAGCUCUUCAAACUCUUCAAAUUAUAAAACUCUUCUCUUGAAGACAACCCCUUUUCUUGGCAAAGAGUCUUCAGUCCAUGUGACCCAGCUGAUAUUGACUGGUUCUGAAUAAAGGCCCUGAAGGGCAAGGUCGUGCAGGCUCCUUGGGAGAGAACAGAACUGCAGAUAGAGAGCAGAGGGGACAGAGGCCAGCAGAGACCUGUGUCGGACAGAAGAGGGCACCAGCAAACUGACCUACUCACCCCAGCUGCUGACCCCCACUUCGACCUGGGAUCAAACCAGCAGCUGAGCACAAUAGAUAGGCUGGGUUCUUUUUGGAAAACAAAAUUUUCCUGGAACAUGAGUAUGUCUAAACUAACUAAUCAAAAUGAAAGAAAUAUAUGUCUUAGUAUACCUUUUCAUGAUUUGAUAAUUGGCCGUUUUCAAGAACAUAAUGAAAACUCAGCUGUCCCACUAAAAUAAUUAUCACCAAGGAGGGGCAGUUACCGAAAGAUAAACAAUUCCUUUGAAAACUAAAUAAAUUAUCUAUCAAACUGUUACUCUAUCUAUAACUUUAAAAGAAAAAAGUCAUCUGGGCAGAAUUAUUGGCUUCACAUCUUCAAAUGUGUUCUACUUUGUUUAACAAAUUGAAGUUUCAAUGAGUUCUUUUGGUUUGCCAGGAUUGAAGCAGAUUUAAAGUAGGUUUGUUGUCAAAUCAGCGUAUGGGUCUCUAUCUCACACCUAGGCUUCCAUUAUCACACAAUGAUGAGCACUCUCUUCCCACCACCUCCAUAUAAACGCUUAAACACAUCCCUUCCCUGCAUACUUCCCACUGCCCACACCCGUGUAGUAAUUUAUAUGCCACUUUCCCCAGAACUCCCUCCAUUCUAGUAGGAAGCAUUUAGACUUACAAAGUGAUUGAGGUGGAGGAAGUUCUUCCAAAGUGCAAUUCAUGUGUCUUUAAAAAAAAAAAAAUUAAACACUAUAAAGUAGGAGAAGCAAAACAGAAUUUGCGGUUAGUUCCUGUAAUAUGUUAAACAUCUGCAGUUUUGUCUCUUCAUCGGGAUGCGGGGUUGUGCUGUAGUCACAUCCUGAUAACAUCUGCACAUUACUGAUAGCUUUUGCUUUAUUCUUUAUGGUCUGCUGAUGAGAGAUUCUUUAACAUUCCUUCAGUCAUCAAGACCCCAGUUGGAUUUCUUUGCUUGUGACAGCCUUAAAGGUGGUUUCAUUUACAUUUGCUAAAAUGUCACAAUAUAGGAAGAUAUUUUCAGUUUGAUGUUUCAUCCCUUCCUUUUUUUAUCCGGAUGCUAGUUUUAGCUUUUCAAAUGAAUGUCGAACUCAAAAUAGAUUUUCCAUGAAAUAUAUUUUGUCUGAUUUUUGGAACACCAUGUCUGCAGCAGAAGACUUUUUUUUUUUUUCCAAAAAAGUUUUCAAUAAGGAAUGGCACCUCUCUACUCCUGCUUGCAUUGCAACAACAGCUACCAUGCCAUGAAAGGGCUAGCUUGUUUAACAUCCAGUAACACAGAAUGUACGACUAGUUUAAAGGUCAGGUACUGACAGGAUGGGAGCUGUUUUUGCUUCCCUAAUGACCCCAAUUACAUCAGAGCUGAGCAAAUAGUCAAUAAACAGUGGCACUAACAUAUGUAGAAAAAUUGUUUAUUUCACAUUUCCAAGACAAUUAGCAAUCCCGUCUCUGGUUCCAGAAAGACUUUGAGAUCCUAGAGGUUUUAAAUAAAUGAGACCAUGAAAAGUAAUAUAGAAUAUUCAUGUAAAUAAUCUUGGGCUAUAUGAAAGCAUUAUUUAUAUUGCUGAAUACAUUUUUCUUGAUGUAGCAAGCGAGUGGUCAAUGGCAAUACAUAAGACAACUGUAAAGAGCUCUAUAAACAAUAAAUUUUAAAAAGAUUAAUUGGUUUUGAGAGUUAAUUUUCUUGAACAAUUUAGUGGAGAUUUUUCGUUACCCACUUGGGAUUCAUAGAGUUGAAUAAGA